GGCUUAAUGAAAUUAAUUUUAAGUCGAUCUGCCCAAUGAUUAAAUUAUUUAAUGGCUGCAGUAUAAUUGACUGUACAAAGGUAGCAUAAUCAAUUGUUUUUUAAUUAGAAACUGGAAUGAAAGAAUUAAUGAGAUAUAUACUGUCUCAUAUAUAUAUUAUUAAUUUAAAUUUUUAGUAAAAAUGCUAAAAUAGAUUUAUGGGACGAUAAGACCCUAUAGAAUUUUAUAUUUAUAUUUAGAUUAUUAUUUAUUUUAAAUAUUAAUAUUUAAUUGGGAGGAUUAUUAAAUUUGUAAAACUUUAUUUUAAAUUUAAACUUUAAUUUAAGAAUUAUUGAUGAUCUUGUAUUAUGAAUUAAAAGAAUAAAUUACCUUAGGGAUAACAGCGUAAUAUCUUUUUAAAGAUCAAAUUGAUAAAGAUGAUUGCGACCUCGAUGUUGAAUUAAGAUAAAUUUUAAAUGAAGAAGUUUAAUAAUUAAGUCUGUUCGACUUUUAAAAUCUUACAUGAUUUGAGUUCAAAUC
rnacentral:rRNA from 1 species